CUGGCAUAUUGAUUUUUCUAAUUAAUAUUCUAUGUACCGGGAAUGGUAUUUUUACUUUCUAUUUAUGGAGCAUCGAAUAGCACAACCACUAUAAGUGAUGUGCUGGUAUGUUACCUUAUAAAUGCUCAAGGUACAGCUUCUAAUGUUGAAAAAUAGAAAAAUAAAUUGACCUUGAUGAAGUGUGUCUUCUUUUGUCUGUUCCCAGGAAAGUUUAUUUCAGGUAUUUCUACUGCUGAAAUGAUUAGCGUUAACAGCUUUUUCCCUCCAUUUUAUUUUACAGGGUCUCUUCAUCUUCCUGAUAUAUGGGGUAUACAACACAGAGGCAUUUCUCGGCAUCCUCUGCUCUGCUCGGGGAGCGCAGAGUGAAUCCCAGCACAGAUCACACCGGGCCUAGCAGUGCGCGUUUUAUAAGGAGCCUAGGAGGCUGGGCAGCAGGGCCACGCGGCAAAGACUCCUCAGCCAGACUAGGUAUGCGGGCAUUUAAAUACCAUCCGAUGAUGAUGACGAAGUGUGUGUGUGUAGGUGUGUCCCACAGGGCGGCUGCCCCUGGAUUACACGCGGUUUCCUUUUCCAGUAGCCUUCAGGUAGGUUGGCAAGAAGACAACUUUUUUUUUUUUUUUGCAACGGUACCUGUAUUGCGGCUGCAAAGCAGGCUCCUCCUAUAAGUGCAAAGGACGCAUGCCCAUUAUUAAAAAGGUCUGCAAACUAAUCACAGAAGCGCAAUCUUUUUAUUUUUUUAAUUUUUUAAAUGUAUUUCUUUUCUUUCUUUCUCUUUUCUUUUCUUUUCUUUUUUUCUUUUCUUUUUAAUGGAUGCUGGGAGCAUCUGAAGUUGGCUGCUUUCAGG
rnacentral:lncRNA from 1 species